GAUGAACGCUGGCGGCGUGCCUAAUACAUGCAAGUCGAGCGAACGGACGAGAAGCUUGCUUUUCUGAUGUUAGCGGCGGACGGGUGAGUAACACGUGGAUAACCUACCUAUAAGACUGGGAUAACUUCGGGAAACCGGAGCUAAUACCGGAUAAUAUUUUGAACCGCAUGGUUCAAAAGUGAAAGACGGUCUUGCUGUCACUUAUAGAUGGAUCCGCGCUGCAUUAGCUAGUUGGUAAGGUAACGGCUUACCAAGGCAACGAUGCAGAGCCGACCCGAGAGGGUGAUCGGCCGCACUGGAAGUGAGACACGGUCCAGACGCCUAGGGGAGGCAGCAGUAGGGAAUCUUGCGGAAUGGGCGAAAGCCUGGCGGAGCGGCGCCGCGUGAGUGAUGAGGGUCUUCGGGUCGUAAAGCUCUGUUGUUAGGGAAGAACAUAUGUGUGAGUAACUGUGCGCAUCUGGACGGUCCCUGGGCAGAGAGCCACGGCUAACUACGUG
rnacentral:rRNA from 1 species